rnacentral:rRNA from 1 species
UGAGUAACCUGCCCUUAACUCUGGGAUAAGCCUGGGAAACUGGGUCUAAUACCGGAUAUGACUCCUCAUCGCAUGGUGGGGGGUGGGAAGCUUUUUGUGGUUUUGGAUGGACUCGCGGCCUAUCAGCUUGUUGGUGAGGUAAUGGCUCACCAAGGCGACGACGGGUAGCCGGCCUGAGAGGGUGACCGGCCACACUGGGACUGAGAUACGGCCCAGACUCCUACGGGAGGCAG